AUGUCUAAGACACACAAUUUACCUUGUUUUAUUUUUUUUUCUUUUUCUGUCUUUCUUUUUUUGUUUUUACAGAUUUUUGCUCUGUCACCAAGGCUGGAGUGCGGUGGUGCAAUCACAGCUCACGGCAACUUUGAACUCCUGGGCUCAGUUCUAAUUCACAUGUCUAUCAAAAUGUCCUUGAUACUGUGAGCUCCCAAUGGACAAGAAUUUUAUCUGUAGAUGAGACGUUUUGUGCGGUGCUCAGCAUAGUGACAUGUGUAAUUAAAUGCUUUGGAACAACUGUGACGGAAGGUGAUAACAGUGCUGUGCAAAAGGAAGGUGGCUUCCUUUCACCACCGUUUCAUUUCUCUCCAGAACGAUGACAAAGAUCAUGGACCACUGGUAAGUCUUUAGUCCCAAUCUGGAGAGGCAGACACUAACAUUUGUAAAUGUCCUCACUCUGAACUAUAAUAAAUCUAUACAGUUACCAAUGUUUAUUAAGCUCCCAUGUGUGUACAAAUAAUAAGAAAUUAAUCAUCAGAGUUGAUAUUCAUUGAUAUUUAUUUGCAAUGUGCUAGGCAUGAUACUCAGUGUUCUGUAUGCAUUUUUUCUCAUUAAAUCCUCAUAACCUGUGAAGUGGUGAUAUUAUCCUCCCCAUUUUAUACAUGAGGGCAUUGAGGCUCAGAAAAAGAUUGUCCACAGCCACACAACAGUUAAGGAGUGGAAUCAGGAUUUAAACCUAAGCAUUUUCAUCUUAGAUCAACUUCAAAAAUAAUAUCCUGUGCUAAACCCCGUGAGGGACUCAAAUAGAUAUCAAGCAUCCUAGCAUAUAAUCUUUUAGCUGUUUUCAAUAGCAUAUGAGAUUAUUGAUAAACAUUACAAAACAAUACAUAUGUUGAUACAAAACUACAGGAAGACUCAUAUACUGCUUUCAAUCUUAACUGAGUUUCAAAUGGUUGGUACAUAGAAUGAAUUUCAUCAGACCGCACAUGAUAGCUGGUCGUUUUCUAUGACAGUUUUGUCAAGUUCUUUGGAGAUGCUGGGAGUCAUGAAUACCUUGAGAGGGACUCUGAUCCUAGAUCUGAGGCAGAGGGAAGGAUAUUGCUGGACGAGAAUACCAUGAAUUAAGAACUAGAGUUAGAAAUAUACCAAGUAGAUUUGAGGUUCUAGUGACUUGUCUGAGAUUCCCCAUCCUACCCUUCUGUAUAGCAAUAAAAGCCUGAAAAUAUUUUUCUUACAUAAAUCUUAGCACAAUAUGAUUCUUGGCAGUUACUUUCUGCACACAGGUAAGGUAACCAUGUCUGGACCUGGGCAUCACUGACAUGACUUGUUGAUUGAGAGCACAGACUUAGGGCUGCUUUGCUUGGGGUCCAAAUCCCAGUUCUGUCCCGUAGGGGCUGUGGGAUUAGGUUGAGUCAUUUCAACUCCACAUCUGAAACAGGAUAGCAAUUAUACCCCCAUCCUAACCAUAGCCAGACAUCCUAACCAUCAACUAAUUUUCAUUAAUUUUACUGUUUUAACAAAUUGAGAUGGAUGUGGUCUACCAUGUGGCAUUGGUGGAAGCUAUCUGUGCUUGGGAACUAAGACUCCUGGACAGAGCAGUCUCAGCAUUAUGCUUUGUGCAUUCAUUGAGGCAAAAUAUAUCCUCAGGGAUUGUCGAACCAGAAGUCUAAUUUGGGCUCUGAACACAGCUAAAUGCUAAACUAUCUUGAGAGCUAUAGCUCUUUCAAUGCUUGAAUUUGCCACAUGAAGUAAAAUUUCCCAGUGGCCUUCAGGUUUCACAAAAGCACACCAUUAACCUCCUUCUAGAGAAGGCAUCUUUUUUUCCUCCUUCGUUAUUGGGUUUAACACAGCAUCACCAAUACAGGCCUGUUGGAUCAGUCAGCUGCUCAUUGCUAUAAUUACAAAUCGAAAAGCUGAUCCUAGGCUACACACAGAAGGGUUUCAUUCAACCAAGUACAUCUCUUGCCUAAUGGAACAGGUCUCAUCAAUGCAGUCAACAAAAUUCCUUUCCAUUUUCCAUUCUAGUCUCAGGAUCUAUCAGGCUUAGGACUGAGAAUCUCCAUUGUUGCAACCAUGCGUUCUCCAAAGAACGCAUAGCUUGGUCCUUCUGCUUUGGGGUGGCUUGUGACUAUGGUUAGAGAUUUCUGCCAGUAGAAGUGAGGCAAUGACUAAAGA
ensembl:lncRNA